GACGAACGCUGGCGGCGUGCUUAACACAUGCAAGUCGAACGGAAAGGCCCUGCUUUUGUUGGGUGCUCGAGUGGCGAACGGGUGAGUAACACGUGAGUAACCUGCCCUUGACUUUGGGAUAACUUCAGGAAACUGGGGCUAAUACCGGAUAGGAGCUCCUGCUGCAUGGUGGGGGUUGGAAAGUUUCGGCGGUUGGGGAUGGACUCGCGGCUUAUCAGCUUGUUGGUGGGGUAGUGGCUUACAAAGUCUUUGACGGGUAGCCGGCCUGUGAGGGUGACCGGCCACAUUGGGACUGAGAGACGGCCCAGAAGCCUACGGGAGGCAGCAGUGGGGAAUAUGGCACAAUAGGCGGAAGCCUGAGGCAGCAACGCCGCGUGCGGGAUGACGGCCUUCGGGUUGUAAACCGCUGUCGCCUGUGACGAAGCGUGAGUGACGGUAAUGGGUAAAGAAGCACCGGCUAACUACGUG
rnacentral:rRNA from 1 species